rnacentral:rRNA from 1 species
UGGGGAAUAUUGCGCAAUGGGCGAAAGCCUGACGCAGCGACGCCGCGUGAGGGAUGAAGGUUUUCGGAUCGUAAACCUCUGUCAGAAGGGAAGAAAGUGCGUGGUGCUAAUCAGCCGCGUAUUGACGGUACCUUCAAAGGAAGCACCGGCUAACUCCGUGCCAGCAGCCGCGGUAAUACGGAGGGUGCAAGCGUUAAUCGGAAUUACUGGGCGUAAAGCGCACGUAGGCUGUUGUGUAAGUCAGGGGUGAAAUCCCACGGCUCAACCGUGGAACUGCCCUUGAUACUGCAUGACUGGAAUCCGGGAGAGGGUGGCGGAAUUCCAGGUGUAGGAGUGAAAUCCGUAGAUAUCUGGAGGAACAUCAGUGGCGAAGGCGGCCACCUGGACCGGUAUUGACGCUGAGGUGCGAAAGCGUGGGGAGCAAACAGG